GUUAUUUUUCCCCUAAAUAGUGCUUACUGGGCUUUAUAUAUCCUCAACUGGGUUUAUCGUUACUUUACGGAGAACAAAAUCAGAUGGAUACCUUGGGUUUCAGGCCUGAUUCAGACUGCCCUCUAUGCUGACUUUUUCUACUACUAUUUUAAAAGCUGGAAGAACCAUGAGAAGCUGAAGCUGCCUGCCUGAGUUGAUCAAGUCUCUUUUGGUUUAACAUUCUGCUAGCAUAAGAAGAGUGUCUCUCCCAUGGCUGUAUUUUUAGAUGACAGAUAAUUUCCUUAUUUCACUUUAAAUACACUAAAGUUUGGCUUCAAUGCUUGCCCUGUAGUUUCUUACUAUCGUUACGCUUUCUGUACAACUGUAGCUAUAAUACAUCAUUGUACGAGUGCGGUUUACAAGUUUUCACUGUAUAAUUCUGCAAAAGUUUUAUGUAGUUGUAUUGAUACAACUAUAUAUUGUAGCAAAACUCCAUACAUGCCAGUGAUUUUAGCAGUUAAGCCA